GCUUGGAUGUGGGGGUUGUGCAGAACGCUUAACUGCUGACUGCUCCUCUCAAAUGGAUUAGCGAGUUCAAACUGAGCUCCGUCUAUUGGUGUGAUAAUUAUCUACGCCGUGGAUGGAACUUAGACUUGCUUCUAACCGUCUGCAAAGACAAUUUUUGACAAUUUGACCUCAAAUCAGGUAGGACUACCCGCUGAACUUAA
rnacentral:misc_RNA from 1 species